rnacentral:rRNA from 1 species
GAUGAACGCUGGCGGCGUGCUUAACACAUGCAAGUCGAACGGAAAGGCUCCUGCUUGCAGGGGUACUCGAGUGGCGAACGGGUGAGUAACACGUGGGUGAUCUGCCCUGCACUUCGGGAUAAGCCUGGGAAACUGGGCCUAAUACCGGAUAGGACGAUGGUUUGGAUGCCAUUGUGGAAAGUUUUUCGGUGUGGGAUGAGCUCGCGGCCUAUCAGCUUGUUGGUGGGGUAAUGGCCUACCAAGGCGUCGACGGGUAGCCGGCCUGAGAGGGGGUACGGCCACAUUGGGACUGAGAUACGGCCCAGACUCCUACGGGAGGCAGCAGUGGGGAAUAUUGCACAAUGGGCGCAAGCCUGAUGCAGCGACGCCGCGUGGGGGAUGACGGCCUUCGGGUUGUAAACUCCUUUCGCUAGGGACGAAGCGCAAGUGACGGUACCUGGAGAAGAAGCACCGGCUAACUACGUG